AACCCAUGGUGAAGGCACCUUCUCAAUAAAUCCUUGUACCUCUCUCAUGCAUAAUAUAAAGUCUCUAAAUCGAUCUACACAAAGGAGGAGAUAUCAUUGUUCAACUU
rnacentral:snoRNA from 1 species